AAUAUGCUUCAGGGGCCGGUUACGCGAAGCAUGGAUAAUGUUAUCCAUUGGAUGGCAAAAGUCUUCAAGCUUGUAAAAAAAGGUGUUUAUAUUUUUCUUACGACAAAGAAAUUUUGUAAUCUUCGAAACAAUAUUUUAUUUCAGUAAUUGUUCAGUUCGAAUCUUAUACUUUUCGCUUUUUAAAAGGUUUUAUUAAAGUUUUAAAAAAACUUGCUAUCCAAUGGACAGCGCUAUCCAGGCUUCGUGCAACCGACCCCUGUUAUGUAAUGAUCAAUAAUAUUCUCUCAUAUUUAGCAAUAUAUUUAUAACUAGCCAGUAAAGUUUCCAUGAAGCAACAAAGCUGGCUUUGCAAUGUUUGAUUUUUUGACCAAACAGACAAUGACAUCUUUGUAAUACAUAAUUUUCUUCUAACAGCCAUCUGACUCAUCAUUAACGCGAUUAAUUUUAAGUCCUGAAAGCCAAAUUCCAAAAUAGGCAAAAUAAACAUAUUAUAAGCUGAACUACUGAAAAAAUAAUGAAGCUUGUAAAGAAAAAUAGAAUUGUCGAUGGUUUUUAUCCCAUAGUAAAAAUGCUUGCAAAGUCUGACACAUUCUAUAUUUCGGAUACUUCUGGUAGUUUAGUACUUAAUUUUGUUUGCAAUUUAAACAACCUGUCGUCGUCAACAAAUAAAAAAAACGUGACAACAGUUUGUAAUGAAAUGUUCCAGAAAGGAUAUUUAACUUGAAACAUCGCAGAACACAAUUCGAGAAAUGUUAAGGCGAUGCAACAUUUAUUCAGUCAAGGUCAAGUGUGGUGAUUCAAAUUACUUAAAAAUUUUACAUUUCCUGCUAUGAAUCAUUUGCGUGUUUCUGUGUAAGGGGUUUACAUUAAUCCUUAAUCAAUUUGUAAUAUUUCCGGAAUAAUUUCAAGGACAUGACUGCUUUGUUCGAAGCCUAAUACUGACAGAUUAAGGUCAACUAUCAUCAGUAAACAUUUUUGAAAAGAAUCAAUAACAACCAGCCGUCUGAAUGAAGACAACCUCAAUAUCUUCUAUGAGAAAUUAUGAAGACAAAAUCACUACCAUUCAUCAGAAAUUAUGAAGAGUGAAGACGACAUCACUACCUUCCACCAGAAAUUAUGAAGACGACAUCACCGUCCAUCAGAGAUAAUGAAAACAAAAUUACUGACUUCCAUCAGAAAUUAUGAAGAAUGGCAUCACUACCUUCCAUCAGAAAUUAUGAAAACAAAAUCACCACCUUCCAUGAAAUAUUAUAAAAGAGCGUCGCUACCGUCCAACAGAAAGAAGAAAGAAAACACAGUUUUCAUAUAUUAAAAGGAGUGUUAGCUAACUUAUUUCACGAAUGUAAGCGAGGGAAGAUAUGAGAUAAGAGAAAUUUUAAACGAAUAUAAUGACGAAUGAUAAUAGUACUCAACGAUAACUUCUUUAAUGUCACUUUUUUAUGCUUAUAGCUACUAUUUAAAAUUGGAUUAAUAACCUUGUUGUUCAACAUCUUUGGCGACUUAUCAAUACCGAUUUAUAGAGUACAGGAAAUGUUAAUAUUAUUAAAGGUUUUGCAGUAGAAUAAUUUUAAUGCGAUUAGUAAGUUCACUGCCAGCUUCUUUUGUUAUCUUACAAUAUCCAGUGUGGAAGUCAACUUAUUUAUGAUGAAAUAUAUUAAAUAACAAGGAAAAAUUAAAGAAAAUGUUCAGAAAUUAGAAAGGUGACAUUAAAAUAUAGCGAUAUGCAGUGUACACUGCAAAAUAGGCUUAAAUGUUCUGUUUUUGUGACUUUUAUUGUCAGUUGAUAUUGUCUGUAUAUUUUUGAUGAAAAAUUGAAUGCGUUAGAAUAUUUCAAACAACCGAAGGCCUUUGGAGGCUUGAUGAUAAAUUAUAGCUAAUGAUCAUGAAUAUGGAAACAAAGAAAUGAGUUUAUCAUGAAAAUAAAAUAGAAACUGUUUCAUCAAACAUUUAAGUCAUCUUGGAAAAGUUUAUUAAUUGUUUUUCAAUAAAAAUUAUGUAUUAUUUUCGUGUAUACCAAAACUGUAUCUAGUACAAAGUAAAAAUUAUUUAGACUUUUUGACUUCUACACACGUCAAUAAGUAAUGUAAAGUCUGAUUCCUGGUAAACAAUUUUCAAAUUUUAUAACUUGUCAUCUGAUGGUAACAAAUGACACCGCUAUUUACACUAAAUAUAGUUUCCAUUUCUGUCACGCUCUGUAAUAAGUAAUGCCAAAAGAUAGCUAUCGUGUGAAUUAAGACAAUAUCUAAUAGCCAUUAUUGUAACAAAUAAAAAAAAACGAGAAAGAUAAAUUGCCUCUAUCGUAACAAAACUUUUGUCGUCAGCAAAUUACCCUGGAAAUAUUAAUUUUAGCUAAUUUCUUACGCAAAUUGUCUUCCCCAAUUGAAGGAUUACUGAAUUAUUUCUCUCUAAAGACUUUGUAGCUUCAAUGAUUGAAAACUUGUCCUUUCUAUACUUCUGCAGCUAAGUUGCAAGAUCAUUGGUUCCACUAUGCCAAGACGUAAUUAUGCUUUGUUGUUAUCAAGACUUUUUCUCUUAACAUGCAUGGCUAAAAUCUCUUGUUUAAAUAUCGCCUUUUAUUUAAUAAAACAUAACAUUAUUCACAUGCGCACAUUUAGAAUUCACUAUUUUUUGUUCUGUUUUGAAAUAUCAAAAAUUAAGAAUUAUGUUUUAUCAUAAAAGUCCUGCGUUAAAAAAUGUUAGGAAAGCGCGUUGAAAACUUAUAUUUCGAAUGCUUUCCCACGAAAUAAGCAAAGUUCCUCUUUGAUGUGAUGACACAAACUGGACAUAUAUAAAUAAUGAAGAGAUCCUGUUUAUUCAAGCCAGAAAAAGUUAUUAAUUUUAUCAUGCACACGUCACAAUAAAAAUAUUCUGAAAAUAUGUAAAAUUAUAGUUUAAAAAAAGAGUACAUUAAAAUAUUUGACGAAAUAAGUUUGGUUGGAUGCUAUCCAAUCCUUUCUGUUGAAGGUACUGUGGUAAACAUACAUUUGAAUGCUAUCCAUAAUUUACCCUAAAGUGGAAAGUAUUGCGUGCAGAAAUUUCAACAAUCAGAAAAAAUACGCCAAAUGCAGAGAUGAUUAAUGAAGACAAGACUGUUUAUUUUUAGAAACAUCAUAGAUAAAGAGAAAACUGUCUUUCCAACAGAAGAAAUUGUUAAUAAAGAGAUGACUGUCCAUUCAGUUAAGAAGAAGAAAUUGCUUAUGAAGAGAAAACUGUCUGUUCUCUACAGAUGACUUCAUUAAUGAAGAGAAUACUGCUUGUUUCCAAGCGAAGAUAUCAAUGAUUAUCAUUGAUGACGACUGACUUCCAAUGAUAAAUUAUUUUGAAGAUCUCAAUUUUGAACAUCAUAUUAUCCCAAGUGAAGAAAAUCAACUGAAUCAUGGACGCUGUAUUUUAUGUUUGUCAUCGAAAUCAAUACAAAAUUGUAAAAGUUAGACAAAGGUUUUAAGCACAUCUAAAGCAAAACAACUAGUUGGAAGCUGUAUAUUACUUCUUGGUGUUGCUUUCUCAUUGAAAAACGAGUUAAAAAUAACGUCUGUGAACUUUACACACUACUUUUUUUAAUAUCGUCUCAUUGUCAGAAUAUCAACAAGUAUCUACAUCAUUUGCUGUGUUGACUGCAAAUUUCUUAACCAUUUCACUUACCAUUUUGACAGAAAGUGCCACUCGUCUUGUUCGGACAUGAACACCUGUUUGGAAGUCUGCAUACUCCUCCAUUUUGGCAUUUUGGACGACAAAUUGCUGAGAAUUGUAAAAGUAAUUGAUGAAAACCAAAACAAGUUGUGCUCUGCUUUAUAUGAUUCAAAGAAUAUCAUAAAAUGUUUCUUUUUGUUGUUAUAAUUUCACGUAACAAUGUAAAAAACCUUACCAACAUUACAAGUUGGUCCUGUCCAUCCAGAUUUACAAUUACAUUUGUUGCUACCGUAACAUACUCCACCGUUUAAACAUGCUGUUUUACACGCAGCUGUAAAAAACGACACUAUAUUAAAGUAGAAAUCUCUACAUUUUUUAAUUUUCAAGCUGUUUUUAAGUUCAGACGUUUCUUUAAUGCUAUCAUUCGCAGGCUUAUGACAACAUCGGAUCUCGUAAAUGGACUGGCUUUCAAGCUGAGUUUAUGUAAUAGUUAUUUGGACAAAAUGAAAAUAUGAAUUUAAGAGAGUAAAUCUGCCAUUUAUGAUCACUUGGUCUGAGUAAAUGAUGCCUUUAAAAACAUCAGUAUUUUCGUCUAAUUUACAGUUUUAAAUAUGUAAUAAUCUGGUUCAUACGACUUUUUACGACUUCUGUGCGUUUGUUGUAAAAUUUAUGUUUCUUUAUGUUAAGAAAAUUUCCAGUAUAUAAAUAUUUGAUAAUAAUUUGUGAAUCGUUAUGUAAAGUCCGUAAAAGAAGAGAAAUUUCCUGGAAAAUGUAACCAUUACAUGAUUUCUUACAUGACGCUCAACAUUGAAGUUGAAAAUGGUGGCUAUUUGGAUGAAUUAAAUCAAUGCUAAUGUUUACUGAUGUAUUUAAAGUUUUAAUGAUGAAAAUAUGCAUUUAAAAGUGGACAAGACAACGCCUUUAUGUAAAAAAAAGAGCGUAUUCGUGUGAUGGUGAGAGGCCGAGACUAUUUCUUUGUGGUUGAAAAUAGAUUUUUGAUGCAGAAUUUAGACGGCUGCGACACUGUUCAGCACCUAUUUGUGUUAGUGACGAGACUGUGGAUAGUUAAAUUAUGCUUCCCAAUCCCUAGCUAACGUAGCAACACGUAUUUUUCCUUUGUUGGAGAUAAACUUUUCUCAAUUCAAAUGUGAUGAUGUAUUUCAAAACACGUAUUGAUUUAAUUAAUAAAAUCGUAUCUUAUGAGCAUCGAAAA